rnacentral:rRNA from 1 species
UACGUAGGGCGCGAGCGUUGUCCGGAUUUAUUGGGCGUAAAGAGCUCGUAGGCGGCUUGUCGCGUCGACUGUGAAAACUCGGGGCUCAACUCCGAGCUUGCAGUCGAUACGGGCAGGCUAGAGUUCGGUAGGGGAGACUGGAAUUCCUGGUGUAGCGGUGAAAUGCGCAGAUAUCAGGAGGAACACCGGUGGCGAAGGCGGGUCUCUGGGCCGAUACUGACGCUGAGGCGCGAAAGCGUGGGUAGCAAACGGG